rnacentral:rRNA from 1 species
GACGAACCGUGCGAACGUUAUUCGGAAUCACUGGGCUUAAAGCGCGUGUAGGCGGGGUGGCACGUCGGUCGCUGAAAGCCCCCGGCUCAACCGGGGAAGGGGCGCCGAUACGACCACCCUGGAGGGACGUAGGGGGACCUGGAACUUCCGGUGGAGCGGUGAAAUGCGUUGAGAUCGGAAGGAACGCCCGUGGCGAAAGCGAGGUCCUGGACGUUUACUGACGCUGAGACGCGAAAGCCAGGGGAGCGAACGGG